rnacentral:rRNA from 1 species
UACAGAGGGGGCGAAGCGUUGUUCGGAAUUACUGGGCGUAAAGGGCGCGUAGGCGGCCUGUUAAGUCGAACGUGAAAUCCCCGGGCUCAACCCGGGAACUGCGUCCGAUACUGGCAGGCUUGAAUCCGGGAGAGGGAUGCGGAAUUCCAGGUGUAGCGGUGAAAUGCGUAGAUAUCUGGAGGAACACCGGUGGCGAAGGCGGCAUCCUGGACCGGCAUUGACGCUGAGGCGCGAAAGCCAGGGGAGCAAACGGG